ensembl:lncRNA
GGCCCGGCCCGGAGGAAGGUGAGCUCCGGGGGCGGCGGAGUCGGGAGCGCGGAGCGGGGGGGACCCACCGAGCCCCCGUCGCCGCUGCAGGGCGGUAUGAGCGCGGCCAAGCCCAAGCGCAUCAAGUUCUCGGACGAGGAGAAAUUCCUCAUCCUGGAGGAGUUCAGCCUCCGCAAGGACAUCCUCAUCCCCAAGAGCGGCCGCUACCGCAACACGCAGGACCGGCAGCGCGCGUGGGAGGAGAUCGCGGCCGCCGUCAACGCGCUGAGCCCGGUGGUGCGGCGCACGGCCGAGGAGAUCCGCAAGAAGUGGCACAACAUGGUGCUGGACGCGCGCCGGGAGCUGGCCGCCGACAAGCACCCGCUGCUCCGCCAGCGGCCCCAGGAGCGGCUCUUCCAUCACAUCUUCGCCCUCUUCAACAAAGCCGGCCCUCCGCCCGCCCCGUCCUUCGGGCUGCCCGCGGCCGCCCCCGAGCUGCUGCCGCACGGCCCCCCUCCGGACCGCUUCCCCGGCCCCGAGGAGCGGCCGCUGCCCGGAGCGGAGAGCAGGCUGCGGCCGAACCCCGGACCGGCCGCCCCCCGGGCCGCCCCGCCGCAGGGCGCAGCUCCCGGACCUCCGCCUGGCAACCCCGAGCCGCCCCGCGUCAAGUGCCCGCCGAGCCCCGCGCUGGCGUGGCCGUGCCUCGAGGCCAUGGCGAGUCCCGCAUCGCUGGGAACGGGCAGCCCCGGGCCCCCGGAACCCCCGCACGAGAACGGUGGCACAGCGGCCUCCGAGGAGCUGUCAGUGAAGCAGAGGCGGCUGCACACCGAGAUCCUGGAGCUGCAGAAGGAGACCCUGCAACUGCAGAAGGAGAAGAUCGUGCUGGAAAAGGAGAAGCUCCUCCUGGAAAUCCUGAAGCUGCGCAGGGAGUUGGGCACGUGAGGGGCUGCGGGGUGAUGCCAGGAACCCCGUGCUGCUCUGCUGGGGAUAUGGAACAUUGUGGGGCGUGCCGAGUGCUCACACAAGGACUGCUGGGUGCUGCGGUGCAUGGGGCUGAAUAAAGUGAGCAGUGUGGGAUGUGGGCAUGGUGCUGUACGGCGGAGGUGGGGGCCCCAGGUGAAGCCACCAGAGGGUGGCUGGGGGGGACAAGCAGGCACUGGGGACAGCGAUGUGGGUGCCAUACGAUGAUAAAAUCGUUCAGGUUCGAGAAGACCUCUGUUAUCGUUGAAUCCAACCAUUGAUCCGUCGCCACCGUGCCCAAUAAACCAUGUCCUCAAGUGUCACACCUCCAUGGAUGGUGA